ensembl:lncRNA
UGUGCUCCGGUCUUGUAGCUGGUGGCCUGGGAGAUGCUUUGGGUGCUGGAAGCUAAGGCUGCUCCUGGAACCUCUAAAACAGCGGCAGAAUACAAAUCAACCCACCCCAUGCACAGACGGCUGGGAUCCUUUGAGACUCUUGUUUUAUGGAUGAAAUAAAUUCAGCCAAUGGGGAAUGGAAGGCACACACAUACACCUAUUCCCCUCCUGAAGGAUUUGUUGUCUCCAUGACAAUGUAGGAACACGGGGAGCGCCAGACUGGAGAGGUGAUGGAUUCAGAGGGAGCUGUAAUUUACAGCCCUACCUCCUGGGCAGCACUUCAGGAGGAAGGACAGCAAGCAUCAGCCUGGGCUCGUGGCAAAGCAUUACUUGCUUCCGAAACACAAGGGGCAGAGCCACAGAGGGGGUUCUCAAUGGAACCAGCUGUGAGAGGAGGAUCCGUUGCAAAGCUUAAGGCAAAGCCACAGCCAUCUGAGUUCAAAUGGUGCCCAGCUUAUGGGGUGCAGCAAAGGCAGUGCUCCCGUCACAGCACUGGGGGUCCUCUGCUGCUCCAUGCACGCAGGAGAGGCACAUAA